rnacentral:rRNA from 1 species
AUGUUUGCGCUCGUUUUUGUUGUUUUUGAUUUGGAAACCGUCUUUCUAUACCCUUGGGCAGAGUCUCGACGUAUUGGGCGUAUUCGUUUUUAUCAAAGCUUUGAUUUUCGUGCUUAUCUUAGUUGUUGGUUUAGUUUAUGCUUGGCGAAAAGGAGCCUUGGAAUGGUCUUAACCUAAUAUUUAGACAAAAAAAGAAGGAAAAGAUUCUAUUGA